rnacentral:rRNA from 1 species
CAGCCGCCGCGGGAAUACGAAGGGGGCUAGCGUUGUUCGGAAUUACUGGGCGUAAAGGGCGCGUAGGCGGCCAUUCAAGUUAGAUGUGAAAGCCCUGGGCUCAACCUAGGAAUUGCAUUUGAUACUGUUUGGCUUGAGUUCGGGAGAGGUGAGUGGAAUUCCCAGUGUAGAGGUGAAAUUCGUAGAUAUUGGGAAGAACACCAGUGGCGAAGGCGGCUCACUGGACCGACACUGACGCUGAGGCGCGAAAGCGUUGGGAGCAAACAGGAUUAGAUACCCCCGUAGUCCCUGUCUCUUAUAC